CUCUCAAGGCAGGACACAGUCUGCCUAACAGCCAAACUGAUCUGGCAGCAGACCCCAUCCUGCUCCAUUCGGGGGGAGGACACCAGCCUCCAUAGCAAUCUCUACAUUCCGUCCUGAGUAAGCUCCUUAGCUCCACCCAACGGAGGAUGUGAGGAAGAGAUGCAAAAGAUGAGAUGUCACGACGGAGGAAUUGUGGCAACACGUAUUAGGCAAAUCGGAUGUCCUUGCUCAGUCAUGCAUUAGUCUGAAGCAACGUCAAUAACAGAUGUGGCUGAUGUGGAGCGGUGGAUCGUUUAUACAUCAUGUAUUCCGAAAAAGACUUCUGCUAAGGCUGCGCUUGUGUAUCCUCACUUGAAGCAUCCCCCAGGAACCUCCUCUCUCCUCAAAGGAAUGUUUAAUGGAUGAAUGUUCUGAAAGAUGGCGGACCUCAAUCGAUUACUGGGUCACACAAGGAGGCAAGGACGGGUAAAAUAAGUAGUUGGAAUGAACCCACUGAAUCCCCCCCACCAAUUCUUUCAUUUUUUACAAAUAAGCCAAUAAGCCCAAGCGUGACUUGAAGAGGCUCCAGCCUGUUUGCGAGGUCCUUUGAUGACCGCUCCUGUGGAACGGACUCCCUGCUGUAUGACCCGUGGCCCCGCUGCACUCUGGACAUAGAGAUGUGGCGCCAGCGGGAGCCUCAGUUUUGACUCUCCCCAAUCACAGCUGAAUCCGUGGGGCCUCGUCGCGAGGCAGCGGCGAGUGGCUCCUCACCCGGGCUACGCAAAAGUGCUGAGAUCAGUCCGGCCUCCCAGGCAGACGCGGGCUCUCUCAGAUCAAAUGGCGAAACACAGGUGAGAGCCAGACUAAAAGGGUUUCAGCCAGGAAAGAGGGGGAUAAAAUCAAUUUGCGGCAUCUGGAGGCUGAUGUGUGGAAGUGGAUUUUCGGCGAUAAUGCGGUUAUGGUAACUUACGCUGCCGUGGGCGGGCAGUGCCAAAUUACCGCGGCGAACCCAGAGGAGGGAUUUUAUGAAGUGAUCACGCAAUUACCUUAAUGACCGAGGGACAUCCAAGUUGGAAUCAAUAUUCCCACAUUUGAUUAAGCCCUGUGACUCGAUAGCCUGGAACUGCUAUGGUUGUUGUGGGCGAUGGAUAAUGUGGGCCUCCUUCAGAACGUAAUCAUGUCAGCAGAACAGGAGCAUUAGUGGCUCACAGCAGGCUUUUCCCCUUUUCUGUCUCAGGAGACUUAUUUCUGGUGACUUGAAAAGUGUAACAUAAACUAAAAAAAUGUACCUUUUCUUUCUCUUGCGUACCUGCUGUAGUGGUUAACACAACCUGUGAUGUAAUGGUUAACACAACCUGUGUCUUCCAUGCACGGCAUACCUUGCCUGUUUAACACCCAAAGCAAUACAAACUACGUCCAGCUCUGGCUUCAAAUUAAAUGGGCAUGAGUUAAUUAGUGCUAUAGA